CGGAGGGUGCAAGCGUUAUCCGGAUUCACUGGGUUUAAAGGGUGCGUAGGCGGAUAGGUAAGUCCGUGGUGAAAUCCUGCAGCUUAACUGCAGAACUGCCGUGGAUACUAUCUAUCUUGAAUAUCGUGGAGGUUAGCGGAAUAUGUCAUGUAGCGGUGAAAUGCUUAGAUAUGACAUAGAACACCCAUUGCGAAGGCAGCUAACUACGCGAUAAUUGACGCUGAUGCACGAAAGCGUGGGGAUCAAACAGGAUAGAUACCCUGGUAGUCCACGCCCUAAACGAUGAUUACUCGACAUUGGUGAUACACAGUCAGUGUCUGAGCGAAAGCAUUAAGUAAUCCACCUGGGAAGUACGAUCGCAAGAUUG
rnacentral:rRNA from 1 species